rnacentral:rRNA from 1 species
AUUGAACGCUGGCGGCAGGCUUAACACAUGCAAGUCGAGCGGAGUGAUGGUUCUUGCACUAUUACUUAGCGGCGGACGGGUGAGUAAUGCUUAGGAAUCUGCCAUUUAGUGGGGGACAACAUUCCGAAAGGAAUGCUAAUACCGCAUACGUCCUACGGGAGAAAGCAGGGGAUCUUCGGACCUUGCGCUAAAUGAUGAGCCUAAGUCGGAUUAGCUAGUUGGUGGGGUAAAGGCCUACCAAGGCGACGAUCUGUAGCGGGUCUGAGAGGAUGAUCCGCCACACUGGGACUGAGACACGGCCCAGACUCCUACGGGAGGCAGCAGUGGGGAAUAUUGGACAAUGGGCGGAAGCCUGAUCCAGCCAUGCCGCGUGUGUGAAGAAGGCCUUUUGGUUGUAAAGCACUUUAAGCGAGGAGGAGGCUCUCCUAGUUAAUACCUAGGAAGAGUGGACGUUACUCGCAGAAUAAGCACCGGCUAACUCUGUGCCAGCCGCCGCUGUAAAAC